GCUGGGCGAGUUUUUUGAAUACCUGGAUGUAUGUAGUUUUGUAUAUGGAACUUGUUCCUGUUUAUACCUAUUUUAUUCCAGCAGCUCUAUACUACUGGUUGUAGUACUGUAUAUGUUACAGGUACAGCUACGCUUCGUAUACAAGGGAAAUUCCUUUGUGUACGGCGGAUUUUUCGACGUGCCCGGAAAACGUGUAAUUCGGGGCGUGACAAAAUGUUUAAAUUGAAUACUACUAAAUUAAUAUUUUCAAAAUAAUGUACAAAUAUACUUAAUUUGUAAUUAAUUUAUUCUAAUACUUAAUUUAUUAAAUCAUAUUUAAUUAUUAUAUUCAAGGACAAAUUUAUCAUUCUAUUUACUUUUUAUAUUUUCAACAUCUUAUUCCAAAAUAAACAUUCAAUCACUAUCAAGAAUAUUCUCUAUAAAUAAACCAACAACAAUCAAACGUAAUUUACAACUUGUUCUAGUUUAUACUCGAAUAUCUCUUGUUCUCAAAAACAACAAAAGAUAUUCUUCAAAAUUUAGUUCUCAAACCAAACUAAUAUUUCUACAAAUCUUGAAAAGACAAAAAUGAGAGAAAAGAAGAAAAGAGAGCAUAUGGGAGGAAUGGAGAAAGUGCCAUGUAUAUCUUUAGAACCGUCAAUUAAUAGAUUUGUAUG
rnacentral:lncRNA from 1 species